rnacentral:rRNA from 1 species
ACAUGGCUCAGGAUGAACGCUAGCGGCAGGCUUAACACAUGCAAGUCGAGGGGCAGCGAAUCUAGCUUGCUAGAUGUCGGCGACCGGCGAACGGGUGCGUAACGCGUAUAGAAUCUGCCUUGUACAGGAGGAUAGCCUUUAGAAAUGAAGAUUAAUACUCCAUAAUGUUUAGAGGUGGCAUCAUUUUUAAAUUAAAGAUUUAUUGGUACAAGAUGACUAUGCGUCCUAUUAGCUAGAUGGUAAGGUAACGGCUUACCAUGGCAACGAUAGGUAGGGGGUCUGAGAGGAUUAUCCCCCACACUGGUACUGAGACACGGACCAGACUCCUACGGGAGGCAGCAGUGAGGAAUAUUGGUCAAUGGAGGCAACUCUGAACCAGCCAUGCCGCGUGCAGGAAGACUGCCCUAUGGGUUGUAAACUGCUUUUAUACAGGAAGAAACAGAACUACGUGUAGUUCCU